CCAGGAUAUUGAUACGGCUAGAAUGUUGUGCGGCCUGGGGAGCAAUUGCAUACACUACCCUUGGAUGUACACAUACUGCCCCCUAUGUGUACACUCCCACUUCUCCCCUUUUAUGAAUUAUUAUACUGCCCCCUAUGUGUACACUCCCACUUCUCCCCUUUUAUGUUUAUUAUACUGCCCUGGUAUUUUUGAAGAUAAAUCAUUUGGAACAUUUAUCUAAUAGUAUUGUAUAUUAAGGACAACAUUAAAUUGAGGCCUUUUGCACAAUAUAUACACCCUAU